rnacentral:rRNA from 1 species
GAUGAACGCUAGCGGCAGGCUUAAUACAUGCAAGUCGAGGGACAGCACAGGUAGCAAUACUGGGUGGUAACCGGCAAACGGGUGCGGAACGCGUACACAACCUUCCUUUAAGUGGGGGAUAGCCCAGAGAAAUUUGGAUUAAUACCCCGUAAUAUAGUUGAAUGGCAUCAUUUGAUUAUUAUAGCUACGGCGCUUAAUGAUGGGUGUGCGGCUGAUUAGAUAGUUGGCGGGGUAACGGCCCACCAAGUCUACGAUCAGUAGCUGAUGUGAGACCAUGAUCAGCCACACGGGCAGUGAGAGACGUGCCCGACGCCUACGGGAAGCAGCAGUAAGGAAUAUUGGUCAAUGGACGCAAGUCUGAACCAGCCAUGCCGCGUGAAGGAUUAAGGUCCUCUGGAUUGUAAACUUCUUUUAUUUGGGACGAAAAAGGGCCUUUCUAGGUCAACUGACGGUACCAGAUGAAUAAGCACCGGCUAACUCCGUGCCAGCCGCCGCCGUAAGAC